GGACACUCGAGUAGCCCAACAGAGAGAUCCAUCUGGUGAGAUACUGAAGAAUCAACUAGACAGCCAUGUGGGUGCGCCAUCUUCUAAACAGAUCCUCCAGCCCCAGAUGAGCCUGCAUGUGACUGCAGUCUUGGCUGACAUCUUGACAACAACCUCAUGAGAGACCCUGAGCCAGAACCACUCACCUCAGUCUCCCUUGAGCUCAUGGCCUACCGGGUAUUGUUGCCUUCAGCUGCUAAAUUUUGAGAGUCUACAUCUCUGAGGACAGGAGCAGAGUAUGGUUCAUUUCUGAGUCAUCCAGAAGGCCUGGACCUUGCCUGCUACAAAAAAAUCAAGGGCUAUACCUACUGGCUUACUUCUGAUUGCUUUGCCACUUACUAGUCGUGUCAUCUUCUUCAAUAUGUCUUUGUUCAAUGACUGAACGACUGAAUGAACACAUGACGAGAAAGAGACUUUUGAACCUGUGGAGUCCAGAGGCUGUGAAAUGCAGAGAUGUGCAACCCCAGGACAAGUGGCUCAGACCAUUUAUCUAUCAGAGGAUUCAUGGAAAGGACUCAGUGUUUACCAGGAUACUUCCAAGGUGCCCUAUCCGUAUAGAGUGGAACUUUAAAACCGGAGAAAAAGUCCAACGAAAUAAGUCAAGUGGAAUAUGUUGUCUUCUACCAUAUUUAGGCAGAGAUCUUGACUAAUUAAUCUUCAAAGAAGUGAAAAUAAUCUACUCUUGAACUUAAUUAUGCAAAUAAAACAAUUCUAAUUUCGGAAA
rnacentral:lncRNA from 1 species